GGCCAAUCAGCAUCUCCUCAUAGAGAUGAAUUGAAUCUCUAUGAGGAAAGUUCAGUGUCUGCAUGCAGAGGGAGGAGACACUGAAUGUUUGGAUGCAUUUUAGGCAGCCAUGACCCAGGAAGGAUCUCUAACAGCCAUCUGAUGAGUGGCCAGUGAAGUAAUCACUAGGCUGUAAUGUAAACACUGCAUUUUCUCUGAAAAGAC